rnacentral:tRNA from 1 species
AGAUUUUCUAGUUUUUUCAUUAGUUUCGACCUAAUCUUUUAUUCGACUAGAUAACAAUUUA